GAGUAUUAGAUUUCGGAUUUCAAGUUUUGGAUUUAAAAUUUUAGGUUUGGGUUUCGAGUUUCAAAUUUUGUGUUUCAUUUUUUUUGUGUUUAUCUAUCUUUAAUUAUUAUUUUUUAUUUUUAUUUUUAAACUUUUCAAUAUUUUUUUUUUACGCCCAUAAUAAUGUGUAAUCUUAUUAUUAAUAGAUGGUGCAUUAGAUCUAUAUACCAAUUGUGUAUCAAAUAUAACAUAAAUAUUAAUACACAUUAAAGUUUUAAUAUGCUUUUCCAUAGAAAAAAG
rnacentral:lncRNA from 1 species